AGCGCACACGGUGGAUGCCUUGGCGGUCAGAGGCGAUGAAGGACGUGGCAGCCUGCGAAAAGUAUCGGGGAGCUGGCAACAAGCUUUGAUCCGGUAAUGUCCGAAUGGGGAAACCCACCCGCUUGCGGGUAUCCUGCAGUGAAUACAUAGCUGCUGGAAGCGAACCUGGUGAACUGAAAUAUCUAAGUAACCAGAGGAAAAGAAAUCAACCGAGAUUCCGUAAGUAGCGACGAGCGAACGCGGACUAGCCCUUAAGCUGGAUUGGUUCUAGGAAAACGCUCUGGAAAGAGCGGCCAUAGAAGGUGAUAGCCCUGUAUCUGAAAGGGCCAUUCCAGUGAAGACGAGUAGGGCGGGGCACGUGAAACCCUGUCUGAACAUGGGGGGACCAUCCUCCAAGGCUAAAUACUACUGACCGACCGAUAGUGAACCAGUACCGUGAGGGAAAGGCGAAAAGAACCCCGGAGAGGGGAGUGAAAUAGAACCUGAAACCGUGUGCGUACAAGCAGUAGGAGCUCCGCAAGGAGUGACUGCGUACCUUUUGUAUAAUGGGUCAGCGACUUACUGUUCGUGGCAAGCUUAACCGUAUAGGGGAGGCGAAGGGAAACCGAGUCUGAUAAGGGCGCAUAGUCGCGGGCAGUAGACCCGAAACCGGGUGAUCUAGUCAUGCCCAGGGUGAAGGUGCGGUAACACGCACUGGAGGCCCGAACCCACUCCCGUUGCAAAGGUAGGGGAUGAGGUGUGAUUAGGAGUGAAAAGCUAAUCGAACCCGGAGAUAGCUGGUUCUCCUCGAAAGCUAUUUAGGUAGCGCCUCAUAUGUAUCCUCUCGGGGGUAGAGCACUGUUAUGGCUAGGGGGUCAUCGCGACUUACCAAACCAUUGCAAACUCCGAAUACCGAGACGGACUGUAUGGGAGACACACGGCGGGUGCUAACGUCCGUCGUGAAAAGGGAAACAACCCAGACCCACAGCUAAGGUCCCAAAUUCACUGCUAAGUGGAAAACCAUGUGGAAAGGCACAGACAGCCAGGAGGUUGGCUUAGAAGCAGCCACCCUUUAAAGAAAGCGUAAUAGCUCACUGGUCGAGUCGGUCUGCGGGGAAGAUUUAACGGGGCUAAGCAGUGAACCGAAGCUUGGGGUGCAUACUUUGUAUGCGCGGUAGAGGAGCGUUCCGUAAGCCGUUGAAGGUGGAUUGAGAAGUCUGCUGGAGGUAUCGGAAGUGCGAAUGCUGACAUGAGUAACGAUAAUGCGGGUGAAAAACCCGCACGCCGAAAGCCCAAGGUUUCCUUGCGCAACGUUAAUCGGCGCAGGGUGAGUCGGCCCCUAAGGCGAGGACGAAAGUCGUAGUCGAUGGGAAGCAGGUUAAUAUUCCUGCACCUCGCGUAAGUGCGAUGGAGGGACGGAGAAGGUUAGGUGUACCAGGCGUUGGUUGUCCUGGGGAAAGGCGGUAGGUUUGGAUCUUUGGCAAAUCCGGGAUCCUUUAAGACCGAGCACCGAGACGAGCCUUUAUGGCGAAGUCACUGAUACCACGCUUCCAGGAAAAGCUCCUAAGCUUCAGCUUACGCAGACCGUACCGUAAACCGACACAGGUGGGUAGGAUGAGAAUUCUCAGGCGCUUGAGAGAACUCGGGUGAAGGAACUAGGCAACAUGGCACCGUAACUUCGGGAGAAGGUGCACCCUUUUUGGUGGCUCGUGCGAGCUAUAGCUGAAGAGGGUCGCAGUAACCAGGCCGCUGCGACUGUUUAUCAAAAACACAGCACUCUGCAAACACGAAAGUGGACGUAUAGGGUGUGACGCCUGCCCGGUGCUGGAAGGUUAAUUGAUGGGGUCAGCCGCAAGGCGAAGCUCUUGAUCGAAGCCCCAGUAAACGGCGGCCGUAACUAUAACGGUCCUAAGGUAGCGAAAUUCCUUGUCGGGUAAGUUCCGACCUGCACGAAUGGCGUAACGACAGCGGCGCUGUCUCCACCCGAGACUCAGUGAAAUUGAAAUCGCUGUGAAGAUGCAGCGUUCCCGUGGCAAGACGGAAAGACCCCGUGAACCUUUACUAUAGCUUUACACUGAACGUUGAGUUCGUCUGUGUAGGAUAGGUGGGAGGCUAUGAAACUGUGGCGCUAGCUGCAGUGGAGCCAUCCUUGAAAUACCACCCUGUCGUGCUUGACGUUCUAACCUGGGCCCAUUAUCUGGGUCGGGGACCGUGUAUGGUGGGUAGUUUGACUGGGGCGGUCUCCUCCUAAAGAGUAACGGAGGAGCUCGAAGGUACGCUCAGCGCGGUCGGACAUCGCGCACUGUGUGCAAAGGCAUAAGCGUGCUUGACUGCAAGAUCGACGGAUCAAGCAGGUAGGAAACUAGGACUUAGUGAUCCGGUGGUUCUGUAUGGAAGGGCCAUCGCUCAACGGAUAAAAGGUACUCCGGGGAUAACAGGCUGAUACCGCCCAAGAGUUCAUAUCGACGGCGGUGUUUGGCACCUCGAUGUCGGCUCAUCACAUCCUGGGGCUGUAGUCGGUCCCAAGGGUAUGGCUGUUCGCCAUUUAAAGUGGUACGCGAGCUGGGUUCAGAACGUCGUGAGACAGUUCGGUCCCUAUCUGCCAUGGGCGUUGGAGAUUUGAGAGGGGCUGCUCCUAGUACGAGAGGACCGGAGUGGACGAACCUCUGGUGUUCCGGUUGUCACGCCAGUGGCAUUGCCGGGUAGCUAUGUUCGGAAGCGAUAACCGCUGAAAGCAUCUAAGCGGGAAGCGCGCCUCAAGAUGAGAUCUCCCGGGGCACAAGCCCCCUGAAGGAACCAUGUAGACUACGUGGUUGA
rnacentral:rRNA from 1 species